rnacentral:rRNA from 1 species
GACGAACGCUGGCGGCGUGCUUAACACAUGCAAGUCGAGCGGAAAGGCCCUUCGGGGUACUCGAGCGGCGAACGGGUGAGUAACACGUGAGAAACCUGCCCUGGACUUUGGGAUAACCCUCGGAAACGGGGGCUAAUACCGGAUAUGACAUUCGACCGCAUGGUUGUUUGUGGAAGUUUUCGGUCUGGAUGUCUCGCGGCCUAUCAGCUUGUUGGUGGGGUAAGUGGCCUACCAA